AGCGACAACUCCACAGUGGUAGUGUACAUAAACCACCAAGGUGGUACUCGCUCCCCCCAGCUAGGUGCCCUUACAUGGCAGAUCUUCAUGUGGGCGAUCAAUCACAGGAUCACUCUCUCUUGGAGUGCUGUCCACCCUACGGAGUGGACUCUACAUCCGAGCGUGAUCACCCAAAUCUUCGCAGAGAUCGAGCGCCCCCACGUCAACCUCUCGCAUCGGCCGACAAUACCCAUCUUCUGACGUUUUGCUCCAGGUUUCCACACCCACGAGCUUGGGCGACGGAUGCUCUUCUGGUGAAUUGGUCCGGCCUUUUGGCAUUACGUCAUUCCUCCAAUAUCCCUCAUUCCACGAGUCUUAUCCAAGAUAGAACAAGAACCAUACCGGAUUCUCCUCAUCGUCCCGUUCUGGCCUCAACAACUGUGGUUCCUGAGACUCACAAGGCUCCUGGUUCGUUGACCACUGGUCCUUCCGCAUAGGGAGGAUAUUCUUCGUCAACCCAGGUCAGGAAUCCUCCAUGCAGCGCCGAACGAUCUUCAGUUGACGUGUUGUCCAACGAUGGUUCAGAGCGUCAGGUCUUUCUGCAGAUGCUGCAUCCAUGGUGGCACGGGGUCGACGACUCUCCACACGCAAAAUUUACAACAGUUGAAUACAACAUUUUGCUAGAUGGUGUGACGACCACGAUGUUUCUCCAACCAAAGCUUCUGUAAGCUCAGUUGUGGACUUUUUCAUGUAUCUUUUUCAUUCGGGCCUCCAGACUGCUACUAUCCGCAACUACCGGUCGGUCCUGGCAGCUGUUCAUUCAGGGUUCAAUGAUGGAUCAACCAUUUCUGUUAACACUGCCAUCUUCCUCUACUUUGGGGAAUGUUUGUCGAGCAUUCUCACGUCAAAUGCCUUGUUCUUUCUUGGGACCUUGGCAACGUCUUGCGUGUUCUCACCAGUCCCCCCUUCGAACCGCUGUCUGAUGUAUCUGAUCUCCAUCUUAGCAUCAGUUGCUGGCUUUCCUCCUGGCGAUCGUUACCUCCAGACGCGGCAGUGAACUGCAUGCCCUGUCAACUGCUGAAGGUCACAUACGCUGGGAACUGCAUGGAGUUCGUCUUAUCCCAGCCAUCGAAUUCCUGACAAAGAACCAGACGCCUGUCUGCCAGCCUCCGGACAUUUUUGUCUCUGACAUAACCUCUCUUUCGGCAGAUAGCUUGGACAAGAAAUGGUGUCCGGUUCGUAUCUUUAAAUGGUAUCUCACGAGGACCAAGUGUCGCCGUGAGACUGGUUCCAGACUUUUCAUCACAUCCACAAAACCCUUUCAUCCAGCGGCGAAGGACACCAUAGCUCGUUGGACAGUUUCAGCCAUCAUCUUUGUAAAUGAAGACUGGCCGAUUUGACAAGACAAGAUGACUCAAUCUCACAUCAGAGCCCAUGAUUGUUCGGGCCACCUCUGCAUCCUGGUUGUUCUUCAGAGGUGUCUCCUUGGCAGACAUUUGCCAAGUGGCUUAUUGGAAAUCUGUUUGUCGUUUCAAGCCAAUUUCUUUAUCGGAAUCCAUGCCAAUCAGACAGGUGUAUUUGUUCUGCAGAUUUGUACAAUUUCCUUUUUUUUAAGGUCUUUAUUUUUAAAUAAGAUGGCAGAAGACUGUUGACUUUGAGUUCUCCCUUGUUGGGUAAAGCCUCCAGAGGUCAGAUACAUUCACUGACUGAUGAGGUCCGUGAUUAUAUACCAUGGUUACACCAAGGUGAUGCGGAAUGUACGGUGUGUGAAAUGCAAUCAGACAGGCCACAUCGCUACAGACAGAGGUUCACAGCCAAAAUUAUUGGCGACGCUGGCAAAAAAUACAAAGCAAGUCAGUGGCUUUGAUUUUUUGUCAAGCUGUGUCCAAAUUUACUUGGCUAUGGCCUGUUAUAAUGCACAAGUCUAUGGUAGUGGCUGCAGCCAGUUCCCAUAGAGUUGUGUGUAAUUUUAAGCCACAGCCAAGGGAUUGAGACACAACAUUAUUUGAAAGUGAGAACCUACAAGGCUUAAAAUUCACCUUUGAUUCACCAAAUGUUUUUUAAUUCCUUGUUAAGCUCAUUUACUUGUUGAGUCACUUUUUUUCUUGAUAGGAUUUAAUUGAUGGUGAUGAUUUUGAUCAUGGCCUUCGACCCGAGGAAGCCUUCUUGAACUCCAAGAAACAAAGGAAUAACCACCUCAAGAAGCUGAACCGCAUGGAGAAGAAACAUUCUGGGUCCGUGCCUCAGAAGAAGAGCCACAAGAGGCGAUGGUGCAGCAACAGCAGCUCAUCGAGGCCGGAGAAACAUCACAGGGAGAAGAAAAAGUACAAGAGGCCCUGGAAGAGCAGUUAGGACACCAGCAGCAGCAGGGAGGAGAGCUCAGCUGGUGGGCAGCGGCAGAGCAGCAGUUGAGACAGAGAUGAAUGCCGAGGAAACAGGAGGGAUUCGAGCAGUGAAGAUGAGAGGAUACAAGAUGUGCAGCCACCACAAGCUGCAUCACAGUGAUUGGAACAGAGGACAUGUUCACAUGGUAUCAAGAAAGAGAGGACAUCUCGAGACCCUUGGAGAAGCCAAGAUGAUCAUUGGCAGCAGUGAUAUGAUAGUAUGCUAGACAGGAUUGCGAUAGAGAUUCCCACAAUUAUCAUUUGUCAAAAGACGUCUGUGACAAGCUUUACCACAAGAACUCUCGGGAAGAUCAUGACUUCAGAGACAGGGACACGCGAAUCAAAAACGAGGUGGAAGGGAUGACACAGGAUAGGAGUCAUAGUAAGAGACACUCUAAGGACCACCCUGACAGGAAGGACAGAUACAUUGGCAGCAAAAAGGACAGGAAAUAACGCAGUUGCUGGAGGGGAAGACAUAUUGCCCCCCCCCCAAAAAAAUGUACAGUGUAUGAGUUAUUCAGGGGCAAAAGAAUAAGAUGUUGGAUGACACUUCUGUUGGCAGUGCCUUGCGAUCGUUUGUGUUGGAUGAAGACGUUUGUUUGGAGGGAAGCGUCUGCAUUAUGCCUCACCAGUCCCCUCCCUUCCCAUGACCAACAAGCUGGUGGUGUUAGUUCGAAUGUCAGCAUUUGACAUUCAAGAUGCAAAGUGUGAUAUAUACCCCUAAAUAAAAAACUUGGCACAUUAUGCCUUUUUCUGAGAAAUUUGUCAUUUCCUGGAAGUCCUGCCUUUGGGGAUGUCAAAGCUGUUACUCUUUCUGCAUUUGAGAGGCUUUUGCCUUAAAGUCAUAUUAAAUGCAACUGCAGACUUGUACAUUUAAAUGCAAUUUAGUUUACCAGUAUAAGGGUUUCUUUUAUUUGAACAGAUGUUGCUUUUAAGCUCCUUUUUCUCAUUGACAACAGAACCAGCUAUUCGUUUGGAUCAGUUCUUAUAUUUUGCCAUUUAAACAAUCAAGUCAAAGUCGUUUAGAAAAAGUCCAUUUUUGAUGAAAUUUCAGUUAAACAGCAAGUCUAACACCUUGCAACUUUGUUUUAAAUUUUUGGUGAAAAUUGUAACAAAAGUAUCUAUAACUGAAGUGUCAGAAAACCUUGAAGUACAUUUCUGAUCUCUUUUUGAAGAAGUCCACUGUUGUCAAAAUUUUAACUAAAAUGCAAAGCUAACCUCUUGUAGGUUUUUUAGUCUCGGGGAAAAAUUUGAAAAUGGUCUAAAUGGCACCAAAAUUAUCUAGAAGUGUCAGAAAAGGUGAACUUCAUCUUGGAAUAUAUUUCUGAGCCUUCUUAGAAAAAGCCCAGUGUUGACGAAAUUUUAAUAAAGAUGCAAGUGUAGGGAGGUCUCGCAUGACAAAACUGAGGAUACAAUUUUGUGAUUUUUUAGAUAUCCAUUAAAAGAUUUUUCAGUAUCUCAUUUGCUUUGAAUUUUGCCAAUUAUCUUUUUACAAAAAUGUGUGCAAUUGUACUCAAUGUUGCUACUGCAGUGCCAGCUCUCCUAGAGUGAAUCAAAACACUCACUGGAGGUCAUCACAACAGAUAACUCCAAACUUAUUUCAAUUUUGUUACACGAAGUUGGUGAUGGUGUGGAAUUUUAAAUAGGGUACAUUAUCUGAGGUUUUAUUUAUUAAAAUUCCUUUUUCACUUUUGCUGUCCACUUUUCCUGUAGUUGUACAUCCCAGCCAUGCUAACCGAGUUUAACUGUGUACUGGACAUGUAUUGUAUGUGUUAUAUGUAUCUGCCUUGAGGUACUUUUUCACAUGCGCUUCAACACUUGUUGCAAGUGUUGCCUAUCUAUCAAAAUUGGCCAAACGCAAUGCAAAUAUGUGUUAUGUUAAUUGCGUUGACUUUGGUGUCCAUGAAAGUAAAAUGCAUAAACGCAAAGCCUACGCAACACAGCCAAAAAAGUACAUAUGGAAAGGCGCCUUUAGACAACGUUGGGCUGCAUGACAGUGCCUGUUCCAUUUUGACGGGCCGGGUCUUUUAAACUCCAGACAAUAAAUCAGCAGAAGCAGA
rnacentral:lncRNA from 1 species